rnacentral:lncRNA from 1 species
AGAAAAAAAAAAAAAAAAAGGUGACUUGUUGAAGGUGCAAAACAUUGGGCAAAAUCCCAAAGGGACUUGGUUUUAUCUUUAGCCCCUAGUUUUUCAGGUCUGAGUCUGAUCAGUUCUGUUGUCUAGGGUGGAAAGUCUUGAGCCUUCUUUCUCCCCAAGGUUAAUAUUUUUGUUUUUUAUAUCCCUUGCUGCUGAUUGUUUUUUAUGUCCCGGAGGGAAAGGUGGGAGACCCUGAAAAUGUUACCAGUGGCAGAACAGUUGUGAAUGUGACUUCCUCCCUUGCUUGGAAGCGUCAGGCGUGAGGGUUAAGAACAUGGAUUUCAGCUAGACCCAGGUUUCCAUCCUGCCUGUGCUGCUUUCUUUUUCCUCUUACUUAUUUUUUUCCAGCUUUAUUGAGGCAUAGUCAACAAAUAAAGAGGGUAUGUUUUUAAGGAAAGCAAUGGGGUGAUUCGGUUUACAUAUACAUUGUGAAAUGAUCAUCACGAUCAAGUAAAUUAACCUAUCUGUCACCUCACAGAGUUGCUACUUUUUUGUGUGUGUGGGGAGAACACUUAAGAUCUACUCUCAGCAAAUUUCAAACCUGUAAUACGCUAUUGUUAACUGUCGUCACCACGUGGUACCUAACAUCCCUGAACUUACUCAUCUUCCAACGGAACGCUCUCCUCUCUGACCGCUGUCUCCCCGGCUUCCCCCUCCCCUGCAACCACUGCUCUGUUCUCUCCUUUUCUAUGCGUUUGACAUUCUUAGAGUCCACAUAUAAGUGAGAUUGUACACUGUUUUUUCUGUGUCCGGCUUAUUUCACUUAGCAUAAUGCCUUACAGCUUCAUCCACGUUGUCACACAUCUGCCUCUGCCUCUAACAAGCUGUGUGACUUUGGGCAAGUAAUUUAAUCUCUCUGCCCUCACCUGUGAAAUGGGUUAGUCAUAGUACUACUACCUUGUAGUUUGUUGAGGAUUGAGUGGGGUAAUAUAUGUAAAGUCUUCAGCACAUGGAUGCUAUCACCAUUAUCAUCACCAUCACUGUCACCAUCAUCAUCAUCAUCACAUCACCAUCAUCAUCACCAUCAUCACAUCACCAUCAUCACAUCAUCACCAUCACCAUCAUCAUCACAUCAUCGUCAUCACCAUCAUCACAUCAUCAUCAUCAUCACAUCACCAUCAUCAUCACCACCAUCAUCACAUCAUCGUUAUCACCAUCAUCACAUCACAUCAUCAUCAUCACAUCACCAUCAUCAUCACCACAUCAUCACCAUCAUCAUCACCACCAUCAUCACAUCAUCGUCAUCACCAUCAUCACAUCACAUCAUCAUCCAUCAUCACAUCAUCAUCACCACCACCACCAUCAUCAUCAACAUCAUCAUCAGUAUUGUUAGUGGAAGGCCUCCCAGAAGACCAGGAGUAUAGUCUUGGCUUUGCCGUUGUUAACACUUGGUGGUCCCAGAUAUGUUGUGCAACCUCUCUGAACCUCAGUAUUAUUUUCCCUAAAGCAAAGGAGUGGUACAGAUGCUUCACACU